CGGGCCGUUACCUGCGGGCUGCGCACCUAAACGCGCCGAGGGGUUUUUUCCGGCAGGAGGCUCCGCUAUGAAGGAGAGGUGUGGGGGUGGAACAAGGCCUAAAGUGCGUCCUGCGGCCGCUCGUCGGCGGGUCCCCAUCCCGUCCCUGGGGUUCGCGCCUGUAAGGGUGCUGUGCAGCCCCAGGGGCCAUCUCGUGCACAGCCAGGUGCUCGGGAUGCUGUCGCAAAGCAAGAGGAUGCUCACAGAAAGGGCGAGCCUGGACGUUUUCAACUGUGAGAGGACACAGAAGUUGUAAGCCCUCCUUGCUUAGCUGUGCCCUAUUGACCACGUCAUGUUUCUUCACCAAAGCCCUGACAGCCCUGCUGUCAGCGGAGGCCACCCAAACGCAUGGAAAGGUUGCAGGUUUAGGUGUGCCAAGCUGUGGGAAAUCGGGGCAAGAAGGCAGCAAGAGCACUCAGGAGAUCUGUCCCCUGCGGCGUGGCUGCAUAUGUGCCCCGUGACAUCGCAGUGCUCCUGAGAGCUAUGCCUCUGGAUAUGAAGUUUAUAUGAGUUAAAUCUUUGUUUGCUAAUUCUGAAACAGACUCUCUAUUGAUUUGACUUCCUGUGCUGUAAAACCCUGCUGCUUCCAUGCACAUGCUUCUGGGCCAACUGGGGGUCAACAGAUACUUCCCAGGAAAGAACUUGACGGCUUUUCCUUUCUUCACUUGAAAUGCAAAGUCCUCUCUCUUUGAACGUUAUAGAAAAGUGCAGUAAUGGCAAAGCUACAGGGGAAAUGGAUCUAUAAAUUUAAAAGGUAACAGUCGGGAGUAAUCUCUCUCUGUUCUGGUAUGGGGUACACACAGCUGGCCAACCGUUGGGUGUUUCUGGAAUGCACUGCAACACCAGCAGAGGCUCGUUCUUUGUCUCCCAGUUUUAACUUGACAAGAUCCUCAAGUGUAUAUUUAUGGUUUCCUUCCUGACCUGCUCCCAGAGAUAAGUACUUUCUUGAAGUAGAUGGCAGGCCAGUACUGGCUGGGAGAAAGUUUCUCUUUACAUUGUCUAACGGAAGCUACAGAAUUUGCUCCUGAUUCCUCUGUUAAACCACCACAGCCAAAGGACAAAGCAUUUCUAGCUGAUGUACAUUUGGUUACCCUGAAAGUGAUAUAAAGAAAUUUAAAAACUCCUAUGCAGUAUAGCAUUCGAUCGUGUACUUUUUCAUGGACUUUGAUGAAGAGAGGUGGAUUACAAACUGUGAAAAUGUUCUUCAUUUCACAUGGGACAGCAUUUUCUGUUUCAUUUAUUAUACUGAGUUUUCCUACAUGGAUAUCCCUAAUACAAGUCUGCUGUGCCCCUGGGUUCUCUUUCAUAUUCACGUCACUGAAGAUUGACUUUUUUUGGACCCCAACUAUUCUGAUACAUUUAAAAAUUAUUCCUUCAACAGCAAUACUUUAGAAAGUAAAGUAGGAAUAUCCACUCAGGAAAACUCAGUAUGCUAAAAAGUGGUUUGCUAUUUUAUUUAUCUUGGGAAACGGGAAAUGAUAAAUAACAACUGCUGUUUUAGAAACAGCAGAAAGCAGUAGAUUCUGCAAACUCACCAUGCAUCUACAGCUGCAUUCAGGGCUCACACAACCUUUGGUGCAGGUCUGCUUCUCUUUCUGCUCCUGGCCUGCUAUCCUGCACCAUAAAGGGCAUGAAUGAUGCCAAAGGUCAAUAGCUGAAUUCGAGGUUCUGAUGGGGGCACAUGUCUAUUGAUAAGGCAAGAUGCAAUAGUUACAAAUAGGUGAUAAAGUAGCUUGGUCACAGUGUCCUAAUAUUUACCCUACAGAGGGCAAAUAGGUGGUGGAGCAGCUGCUCCUUCAGGAGCUCUGGGAGAGGACAAUGGUGAGGGACCACUCCAUUCCCGUGCAGACAGAGGGACUACAGCAGCCCUGGGAGGCCGCCUGGGCCCUCCGGGUCUUUGACACUGAGAGAAGCAAGGAGUACAGCAAACUUGCUUGUACAAACUCACUGAUUUUAGGAAGUUAUAAGUGCUAAAUGAUCCAAGUCAUUAGCCAAAGGAGACAAGGGCCACUAAAAUCCAUGGGAAGACUCGCUGAUCUCAGCAGCCUUUGGAUAAGGUUCCAAAAAAAAGGAUGCUGGGUCACUAAUCAUUGAGGAAAAGUAGCAGAGAAACUGCUUUAAACAGAACUUUACUUUGUAACUCACUUCUUUACUGACAAAAGUUCUCUAAUGCAAAGGACAUACUUCCACCAGCUUUUAGCUGGUUAGCAUGAAGACUGCUUUCCUUAGAUGUACACAGCAGUGAUUGUUCAGGAUAAUAAGAGGUACACGGGUAGCUGAAUUAAAAAAAGAAAACCAAACCCACAAAAAAACAAAGAAACAAACAAAAAAACCCCACAAUGGAAUUAGAGGAAGAUAAGUGAAGCAAGUCCCUGCAAGUGAGAAAGUUUCCAAUAUCCCGGUUACACAGAAAGCAAAAGGCAGCAAACUUCACGCUUGUAAGGAGAGGCAUUUGGAAAUGCUCACAUAGAACAAUCUUCAUUAAGAAGCAGGUGAGCUGCUACCACUUUUUUCAGUCAAUGAAGAACUAUUCUGCCUUUUCCAGUGUCACUUCCAACAUCACCAAGUACAGCAAUACGACAUGCAAAUGAAGUUGUUGUGAUGGAGAAUAGCCUGUUGUUUCUGAUAAUUGUCGGUGAAGAAACCAGAAGGUUGGUAUUUACGUCUCAGUAAUGAGUGAAAUGCUCCUUGGAAGAGUUAAGGGAGCCCAAGGAUGAGCAGAUCCCUGCUGUUUAACUUAACAGUGCUGCAAGGAGCCAAGGACGUUUCACCUUCCCGCACUGCCUUGACAGUGAAGAGCUGGGGGACACAAGGAGCUGGUAAGGGACAGAACCAGGACAGCUGGUCCAGGCUGACCAAAGGAAAAUCCCAUUCCAUGUGGCAUCAUGCAGAGCAUCAAAUCUGGGGGGAGCUGGGGGGGCUGCCAUUGCUUGGGAAUGGGCUGGGUAUUGGUCAGUGGGUGGUGAGCAAUUGUGUUUUGCAUUGCUUGUUUUCUGAUUGUUUGUUGUUGUUGUUUGCUUUGUUUUGA
ensembl:lncRNA